rnacentral:rRNA from 1 species
UACGUAGGCGGAAAAUUAAGUCAGUAGUGAAAUCCUGCAGCUUAACUGUAGAACUGUUAUUGAUACUGGUUUUCUUGAAUAUAGUUGAGGUUGGCGGAAUGUGUAAUGUAGCGGUGAAAUGCUUAGAUAUUACACAGAACACCGAUUGCGAAGGCAGCUUACUAAGCUAUGAUUGACGCUGAGGUACGAAAGCGUGGGGAGCGAACAGGAUUAGAUACCCUGGUAGUCC